AUUUCGUGUUAUUUUAAUUUAAUGAUCAAAAAAAAUGAUGAACUAUGCAUGGCCUAAAUAGUCUCUCAGAAAAACGAUAAUUUAGGGUUGAUAGUCAUAUACCAGCGACGUCGUCUAAAUGUUUAAAGAAUAAAAAAAAUUAAUAAAAUUAGUGCUUUGGGGGGUGACCACGAACUGCUUCACGUAAGCAAUCGUCUUGAAAAGUCAGUUUCUCGAUAACAACUAUUCCAGCUUUCUUGAGUAAAUCCACACCUUCACAUUUUACGAAUAUAUCAGGCUCCAGAGAUCCCAAAACUACCGUAGAAAACUUUUGCUUAACAAUAAGAUCUGUACAAGACACUUUUUUUGAUAACCGCUUGCUGCAAGGUUCCAUUGUACUGUACAUUAUAGCGCCCUCUAAAGAAUCAGUAGGAUUUUUAAGCAUAAAUUUUUCUAUAGCACAUUCCUCUGCAUGUGUGUUUCCUGGUCGUUCAC